GACCUGAAAUUACAGUUAAACCUCAGCUAAAACAUGUUUUACCCGGAGCUACAUGCGCUUAGGAAUUUGUUUUGUUACCACAAAACAUUCAGGGAAUUUUGGUGUGACAUUUGAAAGGUGUCGGCAACACUGGAGUUGACAUUAGUUGCUGGACAGCCGCCUCCCCAUCCCUUUAUCCCCACCCCUCCGCCCAUUCUUUGUCUCCUCCAGAGUCUCCAGGAGCUUGAUAUGGAGCUUAUGGGGAAAAGGAGGAAGAUCAAUCCUGGUGUCAGCAGCUCAGCGCACAUCUCUCCCAGUAACGGCAGGACAAGUGUCAGCUGGAGGAGAGGCAGCCGCCAUGCAGAGACAGAGAGAGAGGGGAGAGAGUGAGUGACCUCUACAUGUGGCCAUUGAAAGACACCAGUGUCUCCAGCGAGUGAGCGGCUUGACUUGGUCCUGGGAGUUGACAGCUUAGCAGGUCUGCCUACAUUUGAAUGUAAGGACCUGUUUCACUUCUGGUCAUUGUAUUUAUUUACUCCAUAUUUACUGAGUUGUUGAUUCAGCUGCAGAAUGGUAAUUCCACUCAAAUUCAUGGUUGAUAAGGCAGAGAAAGGCACAGAUACUGGAGGUAUGACGAGAAGUACAAGAGAUUGUGGAAAACAGACUACAAACUAACAAUCAAGACUAAGAUCGAGAUGAACACAGUGAUCAACAAACAGGAGCGGAGAAAUCUACUCUUUAAAUGACCAUCAGCGGUUUACAGUUCAGACUGUGGUAGAUCCAGUCUUAUAGCUGUUGUUGCCACACAGAAACACACAGACAUUUGAUCAGAGCUUUGGUUGGAACAGGAAAACAGAUGAGAUGGAAAUCAGUAACUGAUGCUUGGAAAGAGAAGAGGUGCAUUUUUAUUUCGCCUGGCCAUGUUGCAGUCACGGCUGUGCCAAAAACUGAUUCAGUUUUUAAAGGAGGGUAAUUUGUCCAAAAUGAGGGACAAACUAAAUAGCUUCUCAUAUGCCUAAUCUGAAAAGCAGACAUGUUUUGUGUUGCACUUUGUAGUGUUGAGGCAAUAUGUAACAUAAAAGUAACAUAAAAAAUACAGUUUUGUUUAUGUGGGCUAAUUAUUGGUUAAUAUCAAUACAUUUAUUCAUAAAAAAAAAACAAAUGCAAAUAUUGAAAAUGAAGAUUCCAGCAUUAUUUCUAAAGAUGUGCAUGAAGAGUGAACGCAGUAGAUAGGCACAGGGGGCAACUCUUUUUCCAAAAAAUGGCCAGAUCAGAUUAAGGAAACAAUUCCAAAGACAGAUACAGUAAUUUUAAGUGAAAGCCAACAAGGCAAAUGGCAAAGAAAGGUCAUCAUAAACAAUGUUUUCCAGGAUACUGCAUCUCCCCACUAUGUCAGUGUCAAGGUGAAGUCAGCUUAACCAUCUCUUGUGUACAGGCCUGUAGGAUGCAGUAAUGUAGUUUGUAAUGUACAUUGCUCAGAUUGGUUCUAUCUGAUCACAAAACACUGCAUUAUUUUGCUAUGGCUAGCCUUAUGGUCAAAAUUUAAUUUCAUAAAAGUUUGGUAUACAGUUUACACAGAGAAAUGAUACAAGUCAGAUGUUUUUCCUUUCCAGCUGACACUGAUACAUCGAUGAUAUGUCGUUAUAUUUGUCUCUAAAGUCUGUCCUAAUAGCCUGGCCAUCGCCAAAGUAGUGCUGACAGUUGUCAAGUCCUGCUUGUCUCAUGUUUUGCAGCUCAGGGAAAAGAACUCUUUGGCCUGCAUAUUCCAAAGAUUUAAUUAAUUAUGCUGCGGUUAGUCUGUCUCCUGAUGUCAAGAAAGUUAUCUUUGAUAGCAAUCUGAGCUUGAAUAACUCAUGUGGAUAAAGUUUAAGCUUUUUGCAUGCAGAGUUUCUCUAAAAUAGACUUAAAGGGAUACUUCACCCACAAGAUCGUCGUCUGUAUAUCACUCCCAUCUGUUACUCACCCCAUGUUAGGCUGAAUUAGCGAAUAAAACUUUGUUUUUCUCUCAUACCUCCACUGUGGACGAAGAAUCCAAAAACGGAGGAAAUGCUUGAUUAAUUGAAGUAAAGGGGGGUCCAGUUUACCAACAGCAAAACUAUAUCAAAACAUCCUUAUACAAACUCUCACACAGCUCAUGCAGUAUAAUCCAAGUCUCAUUUGGAGUUCUGGCUUUGAAGAGAGCACAGAUAAGUUUCAUUUAUGCUCAGUACUUCCCAAACACAUUCAUUGUCUCGAAAACAUUACUAUUUAAAACACUUCCGCAUGAACAGUCUCACGCAUGGACACAAACACUGGGCAAGUGUUUGUGUUUGAACUCUGCUGCUUGGAGUGCAUGAGCAGAGUUCAAAUGCAUGUGCCUAAGUGUUUUAAAUAGUUAGGUUUUAGCAAAAUUGCAUGUGUUUUAGGA